CACAAUGAGCGUGGGAGUGUGGGAAUAUCUGCAACAUACAGUUUUCAAUUCCUCUGGAUAUGUACACAGAAGUAGAACUAAUGUACAACAUGGCGAUUGCAUUUUUCCUUUCCCAAGGAACCUCUGCCUUAUUUUCAAGAACAGCUGAAAUCAUUUGUGACAUCAUCAGUAGAACACAGGUGUUCUUUCUGCAUUUCUUCACCGACAUGUUUCUCAUCAUUAUCUUGGUUGUUUGACACAGGGCUCUCUUUGUAGUCCAGGCUGGCCUUGAACUAUCCCUUCCUGCUUUAGCCUCCCAAGUAUUAGGAUGAUAGCUGUGUGUAACCAUACCAGCCUUCUUUCAUUAUUUUGCCCAUAGCCAUCUUCAUAGGACUUAAAGACCUUCAUAACAUGUUUAUCAUUGUAGCUAUAUAUGCUUUUACCGGUCUCCAUAUUAAACCUUAGUACUAGGAAAUUAAGUGCAUUUCCCAGAGGAUGAGAAGCAUCCUCUUCUAUCUGUUUGGAGACAACUUUCAUCAUGUUUUAGCUAAGGAUUUGCGCUGUGGGCUUAUCGUUUACUGGGGUUGCUGAAGUUUAAAAGGAAAACGGGCAAUAACGUGUCUGAGUCAACUCUUCUUGAAGAUGACAUCUCAUUCUGUCUUGCUAUUUAGGCCUGAGUGUCAACUUGUCAAGACCACGACUAUUGGAAAACUGUUUGAUGGCUGAAACUCUGUGGUGGAGCCCUGCUGUGCUGUAUCACAAAGUCACUUGAAAACCUAAAAUUCAAGUUCAAUAAAACAUUGAUAUUUUAAUUGCGUAGGCAUUCCUAUACCUCGAA
rnacentral:lncRNA from 1 species